UACGUAGGGUGCAAGCGUUGUCCGGAAUUAUUGGGCGUAAAGAGCUCGUAGGCGGUCUGUCGCGUCGGAUGUGAAAAUCCAGGGCCCAACCCUGGACCUGCAUUCGAUACGGGCAGACUAGAGUUCGGUAGGGGAGACUGGAAUUCCUGGUGUAGCGGUGAAAUGCGCAGAUAUCAGGAGGAACACCGGUGGCGAAGGCGGGUCUCUGGGCCGAAACUGACGCUGAGGAGCGAAAGCGUGGGGAGCGAACAGG
rnacentral:rRNA from 1 species